AAACGCGUUGAUCCGGCAGGGGCUCUUUUUCAUCUCUCACCGCAGCCUCCUCUCUCCUUUUGCCUUUCCACUUCCCGAAGCUAGGGUUGCCGCCGCCGCCGCCGCCCCAUCUCUCCUCCGGCACCGGGCACCGAAGGAAGGCCGGCUUCUCCCACAUAUCUUCUCCUCUUGAUUGCUACCUCAUAGCAAGGCGUGGCCCAGCUCUUCACCAUGGCGCCGACAGCAAGGCAGGCAGCGCCGCGAGCUCUCGUCACGAGGAAGCCGCAGGAGGACGAGGUCAAGCCGGACUAGGUCGAUGCGCCCCCCUGCCAUACCUCCUUCUUCUCUUGCGGGUUGGUUGCUGGCUUGCUGCUGUUUCUGGUGCCGUUCGUGUCCGACCGGAAGGGCGUAGCUUCUGUCUGUGUCGCUGCUCCUGAGCUCACGCAUCCACAUCGGAGGCUGCCGCUUGCAAAACUGCUCUAAGCCUCUAACCCGAGGAGCUCGUUGUCACCAUCGUGUAGAGGAGCACCAGGCUGCAUCAUAAGACGCCUCAACAGCGACCGACGAAGUCGUCGAGCCGAGACAUGCAAGCCUUUUGAGUGAGUUCCUCCAUAUUUCAUCAAUUCAGGUUGGUUCAUACACAUCACAGGUGUUGAUUUGCAAGUAGAUGGUUGAGUAAUAAAAGGAACAUACUGAUUAACUUGUUCGCUGCUUCCUCUGCUGCUGCCCAGCUAAUGAUGUUCACUUUUGCUUUGGCAAAAUGUUUGGCCGUGGAAGGAAAGCCUUUUGGUGUGGUGAGAGCUGUAGAUACAACUGAAUUUGGUACAUUCUGAGUAAUGCACAAAAUUGGCCAUGGUCACAAGACACAAGUUUUACAUUCCAAGAGCUCUGUAGUUUGCACUUGCACAGAUGAUCAACAAGCAGUGAACAAAUGGACCGAUGUUCAGAGUAUGUAAGAUUGAUCGAGCACGAUUGUCAAGUUUCACUUUCACUGAUGAUUACACAACUACAGAAUUAAUGGUAGCCCCUGGCAAAUGUUGAAGUUUUUUCAUGUAACAAGACCACAACUUUGAAAAUUAAGAUUGCUGCAAGCUAACAGGCCAUACCAUCGUUCUCCAUGAUAUAUGGCUUGGUAUUCAGGAAAAAGUAGAUGUCCUUCGAACUCGUGUCCUUUUUCUCUGAAUAUAUGAAGCUGAAGUCUAAACAUUUAGACCUUCUCAAUGUUGGCUUCGUGGUGUUGGGGGUGUGGCAUCGUCCUCGAAGUGAAGGCGCAGCGACCUUGAGUCGAUCGCAACCUCAAGUGCUUUCUCACAUGCUUGUCUUGAUUGGUUGUUCCCCUACUUGUAAUGACAUCUUUCAUUCUUAACUAAUGCUUCCGAGUCGUUAACAUAUGAUAAUUUCAUAUAGUUUGGUCAGCAAAAUUGAUUUCGCCUACUGAACUAUGUUAAUGAUGGCGUACGUGACCCACUGAACCAGACACGCCAAUGUGCAUAAUAACAAGACUGAGAUCAGGGACCCGACCAGUCACCCUAAUGUGCAUAGAAAAGAUUGAAGGGUGAUGCCACAAGAACCGAUGAGGAAAUCAAACUGAGGGUAUAUACGGUUAUCCUAUUGAGAUCCAAGCUCUAUUGUACAUGAAAUUAAGAUGUGCUCUUCAAAUGCUUAAGCCGGAUGGUGAAGGGGAGGACUUCAUAGAAAAGCCCAUUUACGAGAAAUAAUGAGAUACAACCCAAUACGAAGAGGCUGCCUACUCGGAUGAAUGGAAACGAAUUAACACAGCACGCACGUCACGCACGGGAGUGCGGGAGUUGCCGAGUCGGAGUUGCUCAGAUGCGUUCGCCGCCUGGCUCCCUGACGUGACAAGCCGCCGACGCCUUCCGCCCUGCGCUGCACCUGCAUGACGUGCCUCCGGCGGUCGCCUCGAUCCGCGGCCUGCAGGCCGGCUGGCCGUCCGUCAGAUUAGCACAAGGAAGACGUUGCGCCAUUGAUCGAUCAAGGUAAGUGGUAAACCCUAAGAUGCGUAGGUUCAGUUUCUUUCUUCUAAUUUCCAAUUAUUGUUAUAUUCCGAUUUUCAUGUUAGAGAGGCAAUCGUAUCAAAUAUCCAUGUAUUGAAAUUUUAAUAUAUGGAUUGGUAAUCGUAUCAUAUAUGGAACGCUGAUUGAGUUAGCUUAGCUUAAUAAUUUUGUGUAAAUAAGUAUGUGGAAUAGACUAAAUCUUUGAAUGUUAAACUUUACUGUAUGUCAAAAUUUUGAACGCUCAUAUAUUUGACAUUGACAAGGAAGCUAAUGAAGAGAUUCUUUGGAAAAUCAACAACCCACAAUAUGCCUAAAGAGGUGACAAUUAAACGCUUCCUUGGGAAAAAUCGCCGUGGGAUGAAACAGAAGGAGCUUGAAGACUACAAAUUAAUUCAAAACGGUCAGGAACAGCAUAUUGAUAUUUCUCAAGUUAUUGCGCCUUAAAUGGUUCACUACACAGAAGACUACCUCCAGAAGUGCAUUAACCAAGAUCAUGAUGCAUUGCCAAUCAAGCUUGCAGAUGGCGAGGUCCCCGUCGUCUCUCGCCUCAUCACAGGGAAUGACAGGAUGACCACCAUCACAACCAACUGGACAGAGUUCCACUGUCAUGCAAACAUGCAUGAGGGUGACAUCUGCGCCUUCUACUUCAGACGCAAGGCAAGGUGUACCGCCAAUGAUCGCGAUUAUCUCCUAUAAAUAUAAUCCAUGUAUCGUGCUCAUGUUUAUUGAACCUUCUACCUCUGUUCCUUGCCUUACUAUUGAACCACCUUAAUUAUCUAGAUAUCAACAUGCUACCUAUGUGUUUAUCACCGGGAUUAAUUUCCUUUCUUCCA